UACGUAGGGUGCAAGCGUUGUCCGGAAUUAUUGGGCGUAAAGAGCUCGUAGGCGGUUUGUCGCGUCGACUGUGAAAACCUGGGGCUUAACUCUGGGCCUGCAGUCGAUACGGGCAGACUUGAGUUCGGUAGGGGAGACUGGAAUUCCUGGUGUAGCGGUGAAAUGCGCAGAUAUCAGGAGGAACACCGGUGGCGAAGGCAGCUCUCUGGGACGGUACUGACGCUGAGACGCGAAAGCGUGGGGAGCGAACAGG
rnacentral:rRNA from 1 species